rnacentral:rRNA from 1 species
UAGGCCUACGGGAGGCAGCAGUAGGGAAUCUUCCACAAUGGGCGAAAGCCUGAUGGAGCAACGCCGCGUGGGUGAAGAAGGUCUUCGGAUCGUAAAACCCUGUUGUUAGAGAAGAAAGUGCGUGAGAGUAACUGUUCACGUUUCGACGGUAUCUAACCAGAAAGCCACGGCUAACUACGUGCCAGCAGCCGCGGUAAUACGUAGGUGGCAAGCGUUAUCCGGAUUUAUUGGGCGUAAAGGGAGCGUAGACGGCGCGGCAAGUCUGAAGUGAAAGGCAGGGGCUUAACCCCUGAACUGCUUUGGAA